UGGGGUUAUAGUCAACGAUGAUAUGUAACUUGCACUUACAAGGUGUUAUAUUUAACUAACCUCAU
rnacentral:tRNA from 1 species